rnacentral:lncRNA from 1 species
AGUACAUGGAGGCUCGAUGCAUGGACGACUUCUAGGUGGUGGAGAAUAUUCGCCAAGGUGGAGUUUGUUAUAUUUGUGUCGAAUAUUAUGUACGCAAGGGGUUACGUGGACUUGGAGUUGUAAUUGGUGUGGAUAGGUACGAGUCGUGUAGGAGUCGGACACGUUGUAUCCUAGGCCUCUUAUAUAUCGAGGGACACCACACGUUGUAACCUAUGAUGAUCGGAUAGCAAUA